UCCGGCUUCUCGGUCAGCCCUGCCCUCUGGGGCCAGCAGAGCACGGUGGAUGCCAGGCCACAGCUGGAACAUUGCUGGGGCAGACGGGGGAUCCCACCUCCAGCAGGGGCGCCGGGCAGCGGGGCCAGCAGCUGAGUCACUGCAGAGAAAAUAAGUGAGGUGCUUGAUGUAGGAAAAUGUCGGGGUUCAGAGCCGAAGGCCGAGAAAGAAUUCCGGAGACGUCUUCAGUGCAAAAAGAGAGAGAGACAGCCAGUGAGAGAGGGAACACAAGCAGGGGGAGUGGGAGAGGAAGAAGCA